GACGAACGCUGGCGGCGUGCUUAACACAUGCAAGUCAAACGGUAAGGCCUCUUCGGGGGUACACGAGUGGCGAACGGGUGAGUAACACGUGAGUAACCUGCCCUUGACUUUGGGAUAACAUCUGGAAACAGGUGCUAAUACCGGAUAUGAGCUUGUCCUGCAUGGGAUGGGUUGGAAAGCUCCGGCGGUCAUGGAUGGACUCGCGGCCUAUCAGCUUGUUGGUGAGGUAAUGGCUCACCAAGGCUUCGACGGGUAGCCGGCCUGAGAGGGCGACCGGCCACAUUGGGACUGAGAUACGGCCCAAACUCCUACGGGAGGCAGCAGUGGGGAAUAUUGCACAAUGGGCGGAAGCCUGAUGCAGCAACGCCGCGUGCGGGAUGACGGCCUUCGGGUUGUAAACCGCUUUCAGCAGGGACGAAGCGUGAGUGACGGUACCUGCAGAAGAAGCACCGGCUAACUACGUGCCAGCCGCCGCAGUAACAC
rnacentral:rRNA from 1 species